rnacentral:rRNA from 1 species
AACGAACGCUGGCGGCGUGGAUUAGGCAUGCAAGUCGAACGCGAAAGAGGGGGUAACUCCUCGAGUAGAGUGGCGAACGGGUGAGUAACACGUGAGAAACCUGCCUUCGGCAGGGGGAGUAACACUCCCAACGGGGUGCUAAUACCGCAUGAGACCACGGAUUCGCAUGGAUCUGGGGUCAAAGGUGGCCUCUGCUUGCAAGCUACCGGCUGAAGAUGGUCUCGCGUCCCAUUAGCUAGUUGGUGGGGUAAUGGCCCACCAAGGCGACGAUGGGUAGCUGGUCUGAGAGGAUGGUCAGCCACACUGGGACUGAGAUACGGCCCAGACUCCUACGGGAGGCAGCAGUCGAGAGGCUUUGGCAAUGGGGAAACCCUGACCAAGCGACGCCGCGUGGGGGAUGAAGGCCCUUGGGUUGUAAACCCCUUUUGUUGGGGAAGAAAUGCGAUCAGGUGAACAAUCUGGUCGUUUGACGGUACCCGACGAAUAAGCUCCGGCUAACUCCGUGCCAGCCGCCGCCGUAAU